GCGUAGAGCCAGAUGAGAUAUCAUCUGGCCUGAACACUGCCAGUUCCUUGCCCCUGUCACAGGUGAAGUGGAGCAGUGUGGGUUCUUCAAGCACAUCUGGUGUGACGCCAGUGCCACCAUCCACCAGCAGCCGAUGGCAGAGUGCUCCCUCCACCUCAAAGUCCACCGAACCGAAGCAGUCAGACCGGUCAUCACAAUCUCAACAGUCAUCGUCAGCUUCAAAACCAUCUACAUCCACUAAAGACCCAGAGAAAGCGGGACUCGCAGACAAGAGCCUACUGGUAGCCAAGUCCUCCUCAGCAACCAC
rnacentral:lncRNA from 1 species